UACGGAGGAUCCGAGCGUUAUCCGGAUUUAUUGGGUUUAAAGGGUGCGUAGGCGGCCUAUUAAGUCGGGGGUGAAAGACGGUAGCUUAACUAUCGCAGUGCCUUUGAUACUGAUAGGCUUGAAUGUACUUGAGGUAGGCGGAAUGUGACAAGUAGCGGUGAAAUGCAUAGAUAUGUCACAGAACACCAAUUGCGAAGGCAGCUUACUAAAGUAUGAUUGACGCUGAGGCACGAAAGCGUGGGGAUCAAACAGG
rnacentral:rRNA from 1 species